rnacentral:rRNA from 1 species
CAGCCGCCACGGGAAUACGUAGGGUGCGAGCGUUAAUCGGAAUUACUGGGCGUAAAGCGUGCGCAGGCGGUUUUGUAAGACAGGCGUGAAAUCCCCGGACUCAACCUGGGAAUGGCGCUUGUGACUGCAAAGCUAGAGUGCGGCAGAGGGGGAUGGAAUUCCGCGUGUAGCAGUGAAAUGCGUAGAUAUGCGGAGGAACACCGAUGGCGAAGGCAAUCCCCUGGGCCUGCACUGACGCUCAUGCACGAAAGCGUGGGGAGCAAACAGGAUUAGAUACCCGCGUAGUCCCUGUCUCUUAUAC